rnacentral:rRNA from 2 species
GAUGAACGCCGGCGGUGUGCCUAAUACAUGCAAGUCGAACGCGUUGGCCCAACUGAUUGAACGUGCUUGCACGGACUUGACGUUGGUUUACCAGCGAGUGGCGGACGGGUGAGUAACACGUAGGUAACCUGCCCCAAAGCGGGGGAUAACAUUUGGAAACAGAUGCUAAUACCGCAUAACAAUUUGAAUCGCAUGAUUCAAAUUUAAAAGAUGGYUUCGGCUAUCACUUUGGGAUGGACCUGCGGCGCAUUAGCUUGUUGGUAGGGUAACGGCCUACCAAGGCUGUGAUGCGUAGCCGAGUUGAGAGACUGAUCGGCCACAAUGGAACUGAGACACGGUCCAUACUCCUACGGGAGGCAGCAGUAGGGAAUCUUCCACAAUGGGCGCAAGCCUGAUGGAGCAACACCGCGUGAGUGAAGAAGGGUUUCGGCUCGUAAAGCUCUGUUGUUAGAGAAGAACGUGCGUGAGAGCAACUGUUCACGCAGUGACGGUAUCUAACCAGAAAGUCACGGCUAACUACGUGCC